ensembl:lncRNA
CACACACACACACACACACACACAAAAAAAAAAGAUAAACAAACACACAAAAAGAUAAACAGACAUACAACAAGAUAAACAGACACACAAAAGGAUAAACAUACGCACAGAAAGAUAUAGAACAGUACAGACAUUUAAUUUUAUUAUUACAAAUAUAUAGAAAGCACAUAUUAUACUACGUUAUUAUUAUAGAAUUUGCAUAAUGGCAAGAGAAAACGAGGCUGAGCUUGAUAGGAACAUAAAGAAUAAAAUAUACAAAAAUAAAAAUACAUUUAAUGAAAACAGUUACAUUUAUAAUUUAAAUUUAAGUGUCUAUAAAUCUAUUAAUAAUAGAUACAGUGCGCCUUGCUCGGUAAAUGAUGAUGUUGGUAAAAUUUUUAUCAAAAAAAGAAGUUCAACUAUAUUACCUUGUGUAAAUGACUAUAAUCGUGUAGUUCCUAGAAAUAACAAGGAAUGUUUUAAUUAUAAUUUUAAUAAUUCAAUUAUUAAAAGAAGAAAACUUGUUUCACCGCUUAAAGAAAGUAUUCAAAAAGAAACACAUUCCCCAUUAAAAAGUAGAAGACAGUUGAGAGGUAGUAUUGAUGAAAGUAUUAAAAAAAGUGUUUAUUUGAGGUCUAUAGUAAAUAAAACGAUAAAUAAAUAUAAAACAGAUAGUUGCUUGGAACAUGGUCACACAUACCAAAAUGGACAUAUGUAUUUUGAUAACAAUAGUAAAUCAUAUUAUAUGAAGAAUGAACAUCAAGAAAAAGAUAAAGAUUUAGUUUUAUCAAACAAAGUAAACGGGUUAAGUAGUAAUGCUGAUGGGAAGGGAAAGGAAAGGGACAACAACAGUAACAGCAACAGUAACAGCAACAGUAACAACAACAGUAACAGCAACAGUAACAACAACAAUAUUAAUGAGAAAGGAACAAAAUUAUAUUUUAAUAAAAACUUGAAUGAAACGUAUGUAAGUAAUACAACACAAAGUGAUAACUUUUUUCAAAAUAAAAACAAAUUAGGAGGAGAUGAUAGUAUGAAUACUUAUAAAGACAAUAACACAGUAAGCUAUUUGAAUACCGAAUCUACUUUAUCUAGUUUUAACCACGAUCAAGAAUUUAAGCAUAAUAAAGAAAAGUUAUUAACAAUUUAUAAUGAUAGUAAUAACAAUAAUAAUAGUAGAAACCAUAUAAAUAGUAGUAAUAAUGAAUAUUACAAAAAAAAAAAAAAUACACAUAAUAAUAAUCAAUUGGAUGAUUCUAAUAUGGUGGAUUCUAAUAUGAUGGACUCUAAUAUGGUGGAUUCUACAUAUUAUAACGAACAGCUACCAAUUUGUUAUGAACAGAAAAAAAGAAUACGUAUGUUAGAUAAUCAGGGAAUAAUACAAAAUUUAUUUACCACUAAAUCAAAACGUAGACAUAGUACUUAUGUAGGGAAAGAGUAUGAAAGAUUACACUGUUCAUUUUUAAAUUUUUUAGAAAAUAAAAAAUCUGACCAUGUUGUAGGGGGUAUUAAUAGUAGUAAUAAAUCGAAUGAUGAUGUUACUAAAAAUAUCAGGAGUCGUAGUAGUGCUCCUUUACGAAGGGAUUCAAUAAAUUCAAAAUACAAUCUUGCAAAUUUUAAAAACGAACUUGCUGGAAGUAUUUUUAAGAAUAAUAACAAUAAUAAUAAUAAUGCAUCUUUAUUACAAGAACCUUAUAAAAAUAAUCAAGAUAGGUUAAAGCAGGUUAACACUGCAACUGUUCGUUGUAGUAGUGAGGAUUUCGAAGAGGUAGAUCCAGA